GACGAACGCUGGCGGCGUGCUUAACACAUGCAAGUCGAACGGAAAGGCCCUGCUUUUGUGGGGUGCUCGAGUGGCGAACGGGUGAGUAACACGUGAGUAACCUGCCCUUGACUUUGGGAUAACUUCAGGAAACUGGGGCUAAUACCGGAUAGGAGCUUCUGCUGCAUGGUGGGGGUUGGAAAGUUUCGGCGGUUGGGGAUGGACUCGCGGCUUAUCAGCUUGUUGGUGGGGUAGUGGCUUACCAAGGCUUUGACGGGUAGCCGGCCUGAGAGGGUGGACGGGCACAAGGGGACUGCGGGACGGCGCAGAAGGCUACGGGAGGCAGAAGGGGGGAACAUUGCACAAUGGGGCGAAGUCAGAGGUAAAGACGCCGGGAGCGGGAAGACCGGCUUUGGGGUAGAAACCGAUUUCGCAGUGGACGAAGACGGAGUGACGGUAAUGGGUAAAGAAGCACCGGCUAACUACGUG
rnacentral:rRNA from 1 species